AGUCCCAUAGGGUAGUGGUCAAUCCUACUGGCCUUUGGAGCCCGUGACGGCGGUUCGAAUCCGCCUGGGACUA
rnacentral:tRNA from 1 species